rnacentral:rRNA from 1 species
GACGAACGCUGGCGGCGUGCCUAAUACAUGCAAGUAGAACGCUGAAGAGAGGGGCUUGCUCUUCUUGGAUGAGUUGCGAACGGGUGAGUAACGCGUAGGUAACCUGCCUUGUAGCGGGGGAUAACUAUUGGAAACGAUAGCUAAUACCGCAUAACAAUGGAUGACACAUGUCAUUUAUUUGAAAGGGGCAAUUGCUCCACUACAAGAUGGACCUGCGUUGUAUUAGCUAGUAGGUGAGGUAACGGCUCACCUAGGCGACGAUACAUAGCCGACCUGAGAGGGUGGUCGGCCACACUGGGACUGGGACACGGCCCAGACUCCUACGGGAGGCAGCAGUAGGGAAUCUUCGGCAAUAGGGGCAACCCUGACCGAGCAACGCCGCGUGAGUGAAGAAGGUUUUCGGAUCGUAAAGCUCUGUUGUAAGUCAAGAACGAGUGUGAGAGUGGAAAGUUCACACUGUGACGGUAGCUUACCAGAAAGGGACGGCUAACUACGUG